rnacentral:rRNA from 1 species
GUCGUAACAAGGUUUCCGUAGGUGAACCUGCGGAAGGAUCAUUACCUAGAGUUUGUAGACUUCGGUCUGCUACCUCUUACCCAUGUCUUUUGAGUACCUUCGUUUCCUCGGCGGGUCCGCCCGCCGAUUGGACAACAUUCAAACCCUUUGCAGUUGCAAUCAGCGUCUGAAAAAACAUAAUAGUUACAACAUUCAACAACGGAUCUCUUGGUUCUGGCAUCGAUGAAGAACGCAGCGAAAUGCGAUAAGUAGUGUGAAUUGCAGAAUUCAGUGAAUCAUCGAAUCUUUGAACGCACAUUGCGCCCCUUGGUAUUCCAUGGGGCAUGCCUGUUCGAGCGUCAUUUGUACCUUCAAGCUCUGCUUGGUGUUGGGUGUUUGUCUCGCCUCUGCGUGUAGACUCGCCUUAAAACAAUUGGCAGCCGGCGUAUUGAUUUCGGAGCGCAGUACAUCUCGCGCUUUGCACUCAUAACGACGACGUCCAAAAGUACAUUUUUACACUCUUGACCUCGGAUCAGGUAGGGAUACCCGCUGAACUUAAGCAUAUCA